AAUCGGCCAAGCGUCAACACGAUGCUUAAGGAAUGUCACUAAAUUUAGUCGGAAGAUGAUCGACUGCAGCCCGAUCGAAACGUCGCAAUGAAUUAUUGCUUAAGGGAAAAGAAAAAAAAAUGUCUCUUUAAUUGACCAUCACUCGAUGAAAAU